UAAUGUUCCAUGAUUCCUAAUGAUUUCACAGUAGUUACAACCAGUAUUCCAACUAUUUGUCUAAUUUUACAAAAUUUUCAUGACACUCUUUUUGCUAGGAUGUCAGUAUGCAAUAAAUCACACAUAAAAAUUGUAGGAUUACACAAGAAAUCUAUGUCUUCUGUCUGUGACAAGUCAAUACGUUGGAUGUUAUUGCUGGGCAAAUUCAUACCAAGUUCCAGACUGAUUGGCACUGUGGAAAAUAUAAAGGUUCUCAAUUUCUGCAAUGUUAAAACACUAACAUAGGUGGCUGUAACCAGCGAGUGUGCCAUUCCUCUGCCCUUGGCCACAAUAUUACCUAGCUAGUUUGGAUAGCUCACCAGGCUUCUUGUAAGCCAAGAAAAAUCUGUUCAAAAAUCCAAAUGGUCAGGACAAAGGAUGUGAGCCAGUGAGUAAGAAGGAGUCUUCAAAGGCAAAAAGAGCUGUGGCUGGACAAGACUCUUCAAGAUACCAAAGCUUCUUCAAAUGUCCAGGCAAUGUCAGGCCUACAAGACUGUCUGUGGAGGCAGCCAUACCUCUUCAAAAUAAUUCCUAAUUUGAAAACUGGGUUUAAAAUCAAUGAUGAAUGAGAUUAUUGGAAAUUUAUUGCAUCCGUGGCAUAUGUGCAGUUUUUGGGAACCAUGUCAUUGAAUGAACAAUGCAAUUUAUACCUGCUGGUAAACUUUGUUUGAGCUUCAUUUAACUGUUUUGAAAUUGCUUCUGCUUGUAACAGAUGGCAAUGAGACUUUAAACACAUUAAUGUGAAUGCUGAUGAUUAUAUCCCCUUGAUUAAUAAUUAUUCAUUGUUAAAAGCUUUCUGUGAACAACCAUUUUUACAUGGCCAAUGAUCAUCUGCAUAGCUACCCAAAGUGAUUUCUAACAUACUUUUAUCUGAUCCCUCUUUCAAAUAUGCUAUUAUUUUGUUUCUUUUAUCACAUCAAGUGGUGACCAUAGAUUUUUGUAACAAGACCGAAUUUUGCAAUGAUGGCUGCCUUGGCAACUAUAUAUCAUGAUUAAACAUUAAUAACAAGUCAGUCAAGGACAAUAUUAGUUU